rnacentral:lncRNA from 1 species
AAAGUUUAAUACAUUAAGUAUUCCAAAAAGCUAUUACAUCAAAUGAGUGGCUUUGUGGGCAUACUUCCAACAGGUGGAGGGGAAGAGAAGACAUCACUCUUCGUCGGUGUGCAUCCGGUAUGCCAUGGUGGACUCAAAGAGGUUAAGGUGUUCAAUCGGGUCCUCCUUUCCAGUAUAGAGUUGCAAGCCAAGCUUCUGUUUUGUCUUUGCUUGGAGGGGUGUCGAGGAUCCUCCUUGUAAGAGGGCCAGGCCUAGGUUGGUUCCAAUCAGGUAUCUUAGCUUGUCGUUCAGCCUUCAACUUGUUUACUUCCUUAAGAAGCUGUAGGAAGAAGGUCAUGAGUGCAGUCAUGUACCACUGGAGCUUUUUUUCAUAAAUCUCCAUCUCCUUUUAGAAGUAGGAAGGUUUGAUUAAGAGCAUGUGAUUUUUCCCUAAACUCGCUGUACUGACUUUCAAGGUAUGUCUGUCGAAACAUCUCUGAGUCCUCUAUACCUUCGUGUUUCUCUAGGACUUGUUGCCCCUUCCCUAAAUUGGUAGCUGACCUGGGACGUGGGAGGGGACCGAGUCUUUCAGAAACCCUUGGUUCAUUGCUCUUCGAGCUUAUGUAAAAGGGAUUCUCUCAACAUUGCUUUAGGAAGUCUCGGCAGUCACGAUAAACGGCUUUCAAUCCUUCCAACCUUUCUGCAAAUAGGUGUUUUCGUCCACUUCUCCUGCUUCAGGUCGAAGCAGCUGGGUUGAGAGAAGUCUCAUGUUGAUCAAUGUUUUGAUGAUUAGCUCGCUCCUCAUCAGGGAUACCCAUGUCGAAGGAAGGUGACCCUCCUUGUUGGGAGGCAUCCAGAUGAUUGUUGAUGUCCACAAGGGUAACGAGUUCGCGUGUUUGAGUACGCCUAGUUCAUGGAGCAUCUCAAAGAGCUUCUCAUACUACUUCUGGAGGACCUCAGUCUUCAUUGCUAUCUUGUUGUUUUGAGAUUCUAGCUCAUCGACUUUAGCUUGAAGAGCAACCCUUUUUCCUUCCUUCUUUCGUUGCUUCGCACUAAGUGCAAGAGGGGUGUCAUUCUGUGUGCUGUGGCUUCCUUCGCUCCCCAUGUUGGAGAGGGAUGCAUGGUCAAAAGAGAGUGUACGAAUGGUGGAAACCAGCUUAACAAAGCUGAAGAGAGUGAGAAUAAGUGCCAUUCCCACAGACGGCGCCAAAUGUUGAUGCACAAAAUGAGUGAGGACUUUGGUACAACAUAAAUUGUUAAGUUUGUGAUCUUCGCUAGAUUACUCCAAUCACUAGUGUGGAUAAGUAUGUAAAUGGAUAGAUAUAGGGAAGCAAACACAAGAUGUACGUCGUUCACCCAGAUUGGCUACGUUUACGGAGUAGAGGAGUUCUCAUUAAUUGUGAAGGGUUUACACAAGUACAUAGGUUCAAGCUCUCCUUUAGUGAGUACAAGUGAAUGAUUUAGUACAAAUGACAUUAGGAAAUAUUGUGAGAGAAUGAUCUCUAUUUAUAGAAGAGAAUUUCUAGUUUCAUUCUGACAUUUACACGUGUCGUGUUGUGAUUGGCUUCUGAUGUUGACACGUGUCGUGCUAUGAUUGGUUUCUGAUGUCGACAUAUAUCGGGCUGUGAUUGGCCUCCUGGUUGGAGGGAAACUCUUCUGUGUCCUUGACGAUAUAACGUUGACCGGUGCUCAGUAGUUUUGGGAUUGGUCAAGUAUGGUACAAACAAUAUUAUUUUAGGCCCAAACACAACUUUUAAGGUAAGUUUCUACGUGACAUCCACUUUAAAAGUGUGACCAAAACCUAAUACACAAGUAGAGGAAAAGAUUUUGUUUUUGGACGAGUAGGAAAGUUGGAAAUAGAGGCUUCCUUGCAAGUUGGUAACAUCAUUUCUGGUAGUCUUUACCAAAAAAAGAAAAAUUUAAUUUGGUAGGAAUUUGAAUUAAAUAGGAGCUCUCUUAUUUUAAGAAAAAGUAUACAUCUCUUGUAUUUCUUUUUAUUUUUUAAUUUUUUUUUGUCAAACAUCUCUUGUGUUUCUAAGAAAGGAUAUUAAUUGACCAAAAAAGACAAGGAUAUUAAAGCACCGAAACGUCAUGUCGCAAGAACAAAAUUAUCAAAUUGCCCAUUGGAACGGAAGCCCAUAGUAAUAUAAAUAUCGAUACGGGGAAUUAUUAAUAUGUAAAUUUGUGGAUUAUAAAUAGGUAUAUUGAAUAUUGGUUGCUUUCAAUUAAAAUUAUAGAAAUUUAAAAUGAAAUUAUAAGGAUUCUCAAACAUUACUUUGGAUGAAAUAUAAGAGUUUCUCCAUGUGUUAGAAAUAUCGAUGAUAUGUGUUGAUUUUAGCCUAAAUUUAAGAGUUUUCGGAUAUGAGAUUAAGUUUAAACUUCACACCCUAGUUUCAUUUCUUUCUUUGAUUUUUUAAAUAUUUUCAUAUAACUAUCAAUCGUAUCCAAGAAAUUUUAAACACUGAUAUACAAUUCACCCCGCUCCUGCAAUGUAUAUCCACUCCACAAGUAUAAAACUUUCCAUUUCCUUUCUAUUUUUUCUGAACAUUUUCGAUUCUAAUUUUCUCCCCAAUCCAUAGUAAAUAAACAAAAUAAUUUUUAUCACAAAUGGUUUUAAAAUUUACCUAUCUUAUCAAGAUGGUAUCUGAAAUUAAAAAUCGAUUAAUGUAAUUGUAGACAUCGAAAUUUCGUAAAUAAAUGUUGACCGGUAAAUCAAAGUGUCAACGCUCAUGUAUUACAUAAAUUUUACACGUAGCGUGUGACUCAACGAAAAUUGAAAUGAGUUGGAAAAGUCAUCAAAUAGGACACGUGUCAACACCUGGCAGAAACGACUUAUUUCAUCUGGGAUAUUAUAUUCAAAAUUAGGCCUUGGAAAAUUCUAUAAAUACAAGCCUAUUUCAUUCAUUUUAAGGGGACCAAUUCAUAUUACACCUUGAAGCUUUGAAGCUCUGAAACUCCGAAGCUCUCAAGCAUCCAGGCUCCCGAAGAAUCAAGAAAGCUCUAUUCGUUCUUCGUUCAUCGUUCAUCCAAGAUCAAGCCCCAACGGCCCUUUGGAUCAACAAUCAUCCACCUUCAAGAUCAAGCCCCGACGGCCCUUGAAGAAAGCACCAUCGUUCGUUCAUCGUUCAUCCAAGAUCAAGCCCCAACGGCCUUUUGGAUCAACAAUCAUCCACCUUCAAGAUCAAGCCCCGACGACCCUUGAAGAAAGCAUCAUCGUUCAUCAUCCGUUCAUCCAAGAUCAAGCCCCAACGGCCCUUUGGAUCAACAAUCAUCCACCUUCAAGAUCAAGCCCCGACGGCCCUUGAAGAAAGUGUUCUUCGUUCAUCGUUCUUCCAGGAUCAAGCCCCAACGGCCCUUUGGAUCAACGAACGUCGACAAAUCCACACAUCCAACCGUUCUUCAAGAUUAAGCCCAAAAGCCCUUGAAGAUCUGUUCAUCACUGUUUCUUCAAGAUCAAGCCCAAAAGCCCUUGAAGAUCCGCUCAAAUCCACCUUCAAAGAUCAAGCCCACGGCUCUUUGAAGAAACUUCCAACAGUUCAUCCAAGAUCAAGCCUCGACGGCCCCUUGGAUCAACGAAACAUCCACAAAUCAAUACCUUACGGAGAUCGAAUCAGAGGAUCAAAAUAGAGAGAGAUUGUAACCCAAAAUCAUCAAAUACAAAUAUUUGUUUGUGCGCGUUGUUCUUGUCUCUUUCGUUUCAGGAAUUUUCCGUGUUCACAAAUUGGCACGCCCAGUGGGACAAUCUCUACCUCUCAUCUCUUUCUCCGUUCAAGGAAUCCAAGCACACCUCAAAGUCAAUGGCAUCAAGCAACGGACAAGCCGUUCUUGCAACCACUGAAGGAAGGAUCCUAAGCACUUCUGCCGCAAACGGACAAUCCAUUGGCGCCACGACCGCUCCUCAACAUGCCACUUCAAAAUUGGUGCCGCUAAAAGAGCAAGGGGAGCAUCCAAGGUGUGAGUCUGUCAUCAACCUGACCUCGCUGGGGGCACCGAAGCAUGAUGCUGAGGCACAUAAGAUGACAUCCCAAAGCAGCCAACGACGUUCUUCAUCAGCAUCCUGGAUGUCUAAAGGAAAGUCACGUCUAUUGGUCGCACAAGUCAUGACUAUCGGCGUUACCUCCGUUGAAGAACAACUGGCUCAGAUGAAUGAAGCAAUCGCAAGGCUAACCCGAACUGUGGAAGAAAAAGACUUGCAAAUCGCUGCACUCGUCAGCCGACUGGAGCCACAGGACAACGAGAACCCUAACCCAGAAGAUGAGCCUCAGGUGGAGAAAAACGAUGCGAAGCCGGAGCCAGACCAAGCAGCGGCACUCAUGAGAUCUCUUUCUAUCCAGCAGCUGCACGAGAUGAUCACCAACACCAUCAAGGCACAGUACGAAGGGAGCUCAAAUACCUCCGGGUUGUACUCAAAGCCGUAUUCAAAGAAGAUCGACGCCUUAAGGAUGCCGAGGGGUUAUCAACCACCAAAAUUCAUGCAAUUUGAUGGAAAGGGAAACCCGAAACAGCACGUUGCCCACUUCGUUGAAACUUGCAACAACGCGGGGACGGAGGGAGACUACCUCGCCAAGCAGUUUGUGCGCUCGCUGAAAGGAAAUGCCUUUGAGUGGUACACGGACCUAGAGCCCGAGUCCAUCAACAGCUGGGAGCAAUUAGAGCGGGAAUUCCUCAACCGCUUCUAUAGCACCCGCCGCACUGUGAGCAUGCUAGAGCUGACGAGCACGAAGCAAUGGAAGGAAGAACCAGUCAUGGACUACAUCAACCGAUGGCGUAAUCUAAGCCUCGACUGUAAGGACAGACUCUCCGAGAUUUCUUCAAUCGAGAUGUGCAUCCAAGGCAUGCAAUGGGGUUUGCAAUACAUCCUUCAAGGCAUUAAACCGCGGACCUUCGAGGAAUUGGCUACUCGCGCCCAUGACAUGGAGUUGAGCAUCGCCCAUCAUGGGAAGAAAGAACCGAUCGCCGACUACAAGAAUGACAAAGUUCUUGGGACAAAGGUGGAAAAGGCCGCAUGGAAACCCACCAAGGAAGCGAUGACGGUCAACACAGCUCCCGUCAAAAUCUCCACACGAGGCAAGGCGAUUCAAACCGAAGCUUUUCGUGAUCAAGAGAUGCGUAGACGCACUUUGAAGGAGCUUGAGGAGAAGAUUUAUCCAUUCCCCAACUCUGAUGUAGUUGCCAUGCUGGAUGACCUGUUGGACAAGAAGGUGAUCAGUUUGCCUGAGUGCAGACGGCCGGAAG